CACGUAGGGGGGCAAGCGUUUGUCCGGAUUUAUUGGGCGUAAAGAGCUCGUAGGCGGUUCGGUAAGUCGGGUGUGAAACCUCCAGGCUCAACCUGGAGACGCCACCCGAUACUGCUGUGACUAGAGUCCGGUAGGGGAGCGUGGAAUUCCUGGUGUAGCGGUGAAAUGCGCAGAUAUCAGGAGGAACACCGGUGGCGAAGGCGGGGUCUCUGGGCCGAUACUGACGCUGAGGAGCGAAAGCGUGGGGAGCGAACAGG
rnacentral:rRNA from 1 species